rnacentral:tRNA from 1 species
AGAUUAACUGAGAUUUUAGUAUAUUGAGACUUUAGUAUAAUAAAGUAUAAUUUAUUUUCAAUAAAUAGGUUUAAUAAGUCUUA